rnacentral:misc_RNA from 1 species
AGCAGCCGCGGUAAUUCCAGCUCCAAUAGCGUAUAUUAAAGUUGUUGCAGUUAAAAAGCUCGUAGUUGAAUUUCGGGAUUGACGUGAUGGUCGUGCCUUACGGGGUAUGAACUGUUGCAGUCAAUUUCUCACCUUCUGGAGAAAUAUGAUGUCCUUAAUUGGGUGUCAUAUGGAACCAGAACUUUUACCUUGAAAAAUUAGAGUGUUUAAAGCAGGCUUAUUGCUCGAAUACAUUAGCAUGGAAUAAUAAAAUAGGACGGCAUGGUUCUAUUUUGUUGGUUUCUAGGAUCACCGUAAUGAUUAAUAGGGAUAGUUGGGGGCAUUAGUAUUCAAUUGUCAGAGGUGAAAUUCUUGGAUUUAUUGAAGACUAACUACUGCGAAAGCAUUUGCCAAGGAUGUUUUCAUUAAUCAAGAACGAAAGUUAGGGGAUCGAAGACGAUCAGAUACCGUCGUAGUCUUAACCAUAAACUAUGCCGACUAGGAAUCAGACGAUGUUAAUUUUUAAUGACUCGUUUGGUA